UUCAUGGAGAGUUUGAUCCUGGCUCAGGACGAACGCUUGCGGCGUGCCUAAGAAAUGCAAGUCGAACGGGGGCUUCGGCCCUAGUGGCGAACGGUCGCGUAACACGUGGGCAACCUGCCCUGAAGCGGGGGACA
rnacentral:rRNA from 1 species